rfam:Ailuropoda melanoleuca scaffold2754_15, whole genome shotgun sequence.
CUAACGGCUCUUUUCAGAGCCACCUAUAUUCUCAAAGAGUUGAAAG